rnacentral:rRNA from 2 species
UGGGGAAUAUUGCACAAUGGGCGCAAGCCUGAUGCAGCCAUGCCGCGUGUGUGAAGAAGGCCUUCGGGUUGUAAAGCACUUUCAGCGGGGAGGAAGGCGUUAAGGUUAAUAACCUUGGCGAUUGACGUUACCCGCAGAAGAAGCACCGGCUAACUCCGUGCCAGCAGCCGCGGUAAUACGGAGGGUGCAAGCGUUAAUCGGAAUUACUGGGCGUAAAGCGCACGCAGGCGGUCUGUCAAGUCGGAUGUGAAAUCCCCGGGCUCAACCUGGGAACUGCAUUCGAAACUGGCAGGCUAGAGUCUUGUAGAGGGGGGUAGAAUUCCAGGUGUAGCGGUGAAAUGCGUAGAGAUCUGGAGGAAUACCGGUGGCGAAGGCGGCCCCCUGGACAAAGACUGACGCUCAGGUGCGAAAGCGUGGGGAGCAAACA